rnacentral:rRNA from 1 species
UACGUAGGCAGCGAGCGUUGUUCGGAGUUACUGGGACGUAAAGGGUGUGUAGGCGGUUGUUUAAGUUUGGUGAUGAAAUCGUCCCGGCUCAACUGGGAGGGUGCGCCGAAUACUGGAGCGACUAGAGUGCGGGAGAGGAAAGUGGAAUUCCUGGUGUAGCGGUGAAAUGCGUAGAUAUCAGGAGGAACACCGGUGGUGUAGACGGCUUUCUGGACCGUAACUGACGCUGAGACACGAAAGCGUGGGUAGCAAACAGG